GAGUAGGAAGCCAUGAUUCUCCUGACUAUUUAUACUUGAAUUGAGCUGGGAAGAGGAAUAUCUUACAAAAGACCUUGUGCCAAGAAAGAUUACAAAGGGAGAACGUAACCCCUGAGUCAUGGUGGACAUGCAGCUGGAGAGGUCAACCAACACACAAGGUCAAUCCUGCCAGCUUGGCCUGGUUCCCCACCACAUCAAAGACCCAGCCAGCAUAGUCCACCUCUGCUCUGUCUUAUCCCAUAUCUAACUACAGCACUAAUCCCACUGAUACCCAUGUGGAAGUGUCAAGGGUCGAG